rnacentral:rRNA from 1 species
CUUUUACAAUGAAGAGUUUGAUCCUGGCUCAGGAUGAACGCUAGCUACAGGCUUAACACAUGCAAGUCGAGGGGCAUCAGGAAGAAAGCUUGCUUUCUUUGCUGGCGACCGGCGCACGGGUGAGUAACACGUAUCCAACCUGCCCUUUACUCGGGGAUAGCCUUUCGAAAGAAAGAUUAAUACCCGAUGGCAUAAUGAUUCCGCAUGGUUUCAUUAUUAAAGGAUUCCGGUAAAGGAUGGGGAUGCGUUCCAUUAGGUUGUUGGUGGGGUAACGGCCCACCAAGCCUUCGAUGGAUAGGGGUUCUGAGAGGAAGGUCCCCCACAUUGGAACUGAGACACGGUCCAAACUCCUACGGGAGGCAGCAGUGAGGAAUAUUGGUCAAUGGGCGCUAGCCUGAACCAGCCAAGUAGCGUGAAGGAUGAAGGCUCUAUGGGUCGUAAACUUCUUUUAUAUAAGAAUAAAGUGCAGUAUGUAUACUGUUUUGUAUGUAUUAUAUGAAUAAGGAUCGGCUAACUCCGUGCCAGCAGCCGCGGUAAUACGGAGGAUCCGAGCGUUAUCCGGAUUUAUUGGGUUUAAAGGGAGCGUAGGUGGACUGGUAAGUCAGUUGUGAAAGUUUGCGGCUCAACCGUAAAAUUGCAGUUGAUACUGUCAGUCUUGAGUACAGUAGAGGUGGGCGGAAUUCGUGGUGUAGCGGUGAAAUGCUUAGAUAUCACGAAGAACUCCGAUUGCGAAGGCAGCUCACUGGACUGCAACUGACACUGAUGCUCGAAAGUGUGGGUAUCAAACAGGAUUAGAUACCCUGGUAGUCCACACAGUAAACGAUGAAUACUCGCUGUUUGCGAUAUACAGUAAGCGGCCAAGCGAAAGCAUUAAGUAUUCCACCUGGGGAGUACGCCGGCAACGGUGAAACUCAAAGGAAUUGACGGGGGCCCGCACAAGCGGAGGAACAUGUGGUUUAAUUCGAUGAUACGCGAGGAACCUUACCCGGGCUUAAAUUGCAGUGGAAUGAUGUGGAAACAUGUCAGUGAGCAAUCACCGCUGUGAAGGUGCUGCAUGGUUGUCGUCAGCUCGUGCCGUGAGGUGUCGGCUUAAGUGCCAUAACGAGCGCAACCCUUAUCUUCAGUUACUAACAGGUCAUGCUGAGGACUCUGGAGAGACUGCCGUCGUAAGAUGUGAGGAAGGUGGGGAUGACGUCAAAUCAGCACGGCCCUUACGUCCGGGGCUACACACGUGUUACAAUGGGGGGUACAGAAGGCAGCUAGCGGGUGACCGUAUGCUAAUCCCAAAAGCCUCUCUCAGUUCGGAUCGAAGUCUGCAACCCGACUUCGUGAAGCUGGAUUCGCUAGUAAUCGCGCAUCAGCCACGGCGCGGUGAAUACGUUCCCGGGCCUUGUACACACCGCCCGUCAAGCCAUGGGAGCCGGGGGUACCUGAAGUACGUAACCGCAAGGAUCGUCCUAGGGUAAAACUGGUGACUGGGGCUAAGUCGUAACAAGGUAGCCGUACCGGAAGGUGCGGCUGGAACACCUCCUUUCU